rnacentral:rRNA from 1 species
AUUGAACGCUGGCGGCAGGCCUAACACAUGCAAGUCGAGCGGAUGAGGAAAGCUUGCUUUUCGAUUCAGCGGCGGACGGGUGAGUAAUGCCUAGGAAUCUGCCUGUUAGUGGGGGAUAACUCGGGGAAACUCGGGCUAAUACCGCAUACGUCCUACGGGAGAAAGUGGGGGAUCUUCGGACCUCACGCUAACAGAUGAGCCUAGGUCGGAUUAGCUAGUAGGUGAGGUAAUGGCUCACCUAGGCGACGAUCCGUAACUGGUCUGAGGGGAUGAUCAGUCACACUGGAACUGAGACACGGUCCAGACUCCUACGGGAGGCAGCAGUGGGGAAUAUUGGACAAUGGGCGAAAGCCUGAUCCAGCCAUGCCGCGUGUGUGAAGAAGGUCUUCGGAUUGUAAAGCACUUUAAGUUGGGAGGAAGGGUAUUCACCUAAUACGUGGGUACUUUGACGUUACCAACAGAAUAAGCACCGGCUAACUCUGUGCCAGCCGCCGCGGUAAAAC